GCCGCCGCGCUACGCCACGCUUCGGGGUGCUAUGAGACGCGAAAUGCACUCGUAAUGCGUAGGUCUGGGGUUCGACUCCCCAAGGCGGCU
rnacentral:tRNA from 1 species